UUUAGAAAUACAUUUUGCUUUGAACUUUGAGUUUUAGAUCUCUUCAGUUCAGAACUGGUUUUGGUUGGGUUUUUUUUUGAUAAAUGCAUAGUUCCAGAGUCUAAGUAGUAGCUGUGCCUAAAAGAAAAACCACAGAAACAAAUACCAAUUCUCUGUUACUUACUGGAAGAAUCUCAAAGGCCUGUAGUGUUCCGCUGUUCAGUGUUAUUGUCUCAGAGUCAACAGUAGCAGCAGGGGAAUCGGUUGAAGCUGCAAAAGGAAGAAAAAAAGACAAAGAAAGUAUGUAAACCAAAACGUACAGCCCUGCAGAGAGCAUAACAUACUAUAAUUACCACAUAGUGGGGUACUGUUAAUUCCAGCAAUAAGAAAAAGAAAACUGGCUGCAACCCUAAUUACAUGGUUUUCUAAUUGGUACCCAAGAUACAAUACAAUUUAAAGAGGGAAUUCUACAAGCCAAAAGAGCGAAAGAAAGUAUGGUUUUAGUGCACAGGGAUAAAAGCAGAAAAAUAAAGUUACCUGACACGACCUAAUUACUUUUUGUAAUGAGAUUUGUAAGAGGUUCUGGUGUAAUGAUAUCCCUGCUGUAAAGUGGUGUCAGGUUUAAUAUUGUCUUUUUAUUUUUAACCUUUUCUGCCCUCCCCAGUAUGUCCACUGAUGAAACAGAUGCUCCCCAACAUAUUUACCUGCCCUGUGUGUCAUGAUUUUGUGUAUAAAAGCUGUAAGCUUUCUUACCACAAGUGUGUAAUUAAUUAUCUCUAUUAAUUCUAAAACUAAGAUAAGCACAGUUUACGUAUCAGACAUUUCAAGAUUACCAGGUCCAAACAGCUCUUAUCCAAAGCUUUAUAAGGUAUCAAAAACCUAUUCAGAACCAUAAUUAUGAUUUUUCAGUUAUUCUUAAAAAACUCAAAGGCUGCAGGCAAAUUCAUACUUUGCCUGGGACUAUCCAGUAAUUCCAUAAAUACCAAAAGGGCAAAAGACCUACAUGACAGUGGUGCUUCAAGCACUGGAAACUUGGCCUUUUCAGACACCGGCUUCAAAAUAGACUAAUCUUGGUCUUUUAAGAAGAUAUGAGCUCUGCUUUUAAAGCUUUUGUUGUUGUAGUGGCAUGUCCAAGGUUUCCUGUGGGACAUUUGAGUGAUUUUCUUGAAGUUAAUGGACAUUGUAUGGAAUUGAACUGAGCAGGCCUCUGAGGCCUAUGUAUUCAGCAAGAGAGCAAGAGAGCAAGAGUCGAGCAGCCUACGUGUCUUAUGUGACUUUAUACAACCUUGGGUAAAACAAAAGAAAGACAGUCUAGUGAAGAAAAGAAUCAGCAAGUCAGCUAUAAUAUAGAUACAUUUUGUAUAAUAUUAGAGCUUAUGUCAGAAUUGUAUAAUCCAAUCACCUAUUAGUUUGCGGCGCGUGAACAGCAGCUAUUGACCGAUUACAAGUAGCCUUCUGAUGCAUGGACAGCGCGUGGACAGGUCAAAAAGAUAUUUAAAGGAGAGUUAUAACAAGUAAUAAACGGCUUCGCUUGAAUUCAUAUUGGAUUGUGUGGAGUCCAUGAUUCGUCGCCCUCGCAAGUGGUGACCCCGACGUGAUCCGAAAGGAGAAUUUACGGCGAAGGGGACGACUGCUGUGAGGAGCGAGCCCUGGCUGGAGUCGGCGCGGCUGGACCGUGACCGGGACGCAGUCUGCGGGCUGCGUGCCUCCUGAAUGAUCGCUGCAGAAGCGACGGAGGAGGAACAGAGGAUCCAAUAUCGUUGCGCAACGGACACCCAAAGAGGAUCAGGAUCGCGCUGGGUUCCGGCAAAGUGGAUCAAACCCUGGCUAGAAAACACUGCUCAGAGCACAGAAGUUAGAAACGGCAACAAGACGCAAGAAUCAGAAGCAGCGCCAUCUAGUGGUGAAACUGAUUAGAUACAUAGCAUACAAUUAAUAACAUAGAGGGGAAAAAUUAAGACUGAUUAGUUUUAACCUGUUGGGAUGAUAUAAUUGCUUCAUUUAUUCAUACAGAGUUCAAUGAUGGUAUGGUUUUUGCAAUGCAUAGUAGGCAUUACUCUAAUAGUGCUAAACAUAAGUGAUGCUUUUUGGCUUCCUUCUCAGCCAAAGACUAACAUUUGGAUAACUUUAGCCAACAUGACAGGUCAAGAUUCAAUCUGUUUAGCUACUGCAUCUCCGAGCAAUCCUUUUUCAACACGUUUAGUUGGAGUUCCACUAGAUAAUUGGCCCAUUCCUGGAAAUAAGAAACAAUUGGUUGAUGGUAAAAACGUGACAGAUAAUUGGGACAUCUGGGUUGUAGACCUACCACAAGGAGGUUUGGAACCUCAAGAAAUUGAGUUACUAGGAUCAGUAAAAAUGGAUUUUUGUCUGUAUUUCAAUUAUUCAGGGAAAAACAUCUCUCUUGUGCAAGUGGUAAAUGCUUCAUCAUCUGUAUAUCACAACCAGACUUUUUGGUGUAAUUACACCAGUCCAAAUGUAUCUAGGGCUACCAAUAUUCCUUUGAAAUUACCCCCAGGAGUUUUUCUAAUUUGUGGAGAUAGAGCUUGGCAAGGAAUUCCUUCCUACAUAAAAGGAGGACCAUGUUCUUUAGGGAGAUUGACUCUGUUGACUCCAAAUACAUCAAGCAUUUUAAUGCAUAAGAGAGGAAAAAGAAGCAUUCAUGCCUAUAAUAAAGAUUGUAAAGAUAACAUACAAUUUUGGGGAAAAGGCGAAACUAUAGCAUCUUCUAUUUUUGCACCUGGAGUUGCAGCAGCACAGGCUUUGACUACACUUAACAAAUUAGGAUGCUGGUUAGCAAAACAGACUAACGCUACUUCUUUAGCAUUAUCUGGACUUUUAGCAGACACAGAUUCAAUUAGGCAUGCUACGCUUCAAAAUCGUGCUGCCACAGAUUUUUUGUUGUUAGCGCAAGGACAUGGUUGUGAAGACUCUGAUGGGAUGUGUUGCAUGAAUUUGUCUGAUCAUUCUGAAUCAAUUCACAAAGCAAUUAGAAGGUUAGAUGACAUGACCAAGAAGUUAACCUAUGAGGACUGGGGUUUAGACAAGUGGUUGAAUGGCUGGGGUAUUACAGGAUGGAUAAAGGAUUGUUGUAUUAGUAAUGUUAAUGCUUAUUCCUUGUAUCUUACAAUGUGUACAACGUACAGUAGAAAAAUUCAUGAAAGGUCUAUGGUUGGCUCAGAAACAAAAAGGGGGAAUUGUGGGACAUUUGAGUGAUUUUCUUGAAGUUAAUGGACAUUGUAUGGAAUUGAACUGAACAGGCCUCUGAGGCCUAUGUAUUCAGCAAGAGAGCAAGAGUCGAGCAGCCUACGUGUCUUACGUGACUUUAUACAACCUUGGGUAAAACAAAAGAAAGACUGUCUAGUGAAGAAAAGAAUCAGCAAGUCAGCUAUAAUAUAGAUACAUUUUGUAUAAUAUUAGAGCUUAUGUAAGAAUUGUAUAAUCCAAUCACCUAUUAGUUUGCGGCGCGUGAACAGCAGCUAUUGACCAAUUACAAGUAGCCUUCUGAUGCAUGGACAGCGCGUGGACAGGUCAAAAAGAUAUUUAAGGAGAGUUAUAACAAGUAAUAAACGGCUUCGCUUGAAUUCA